UACGGAGGGUGCAAGCGUUAUCCGGAUUCACUGGGCUUAAAGGGCGCGUAGGUGGGUUGGUAAGUCAGUGGUGAAAUCCCCGAGCUUAACUUGGGAACUGCCAUUGAUACUAUCAGUCUUGAAUACUGUGGAGGUUAGCGGAAUAUGUCAUGUAGCGGUGAAAUGCUUAGAUAUGACAUAGAACACCAAUGGCGAAGGCAGCUGGCUACACAAUUAUUGACACUGAGGCGCGAAAGCGUGGGGAUCAAACAGG
rnacentral:rRNA from 1 species